GCGCAGCAGUCGAGAAUUUUGACAAUGGGGGAAACCCUGAUCGAGCGACGCCGCGUGGAGGAUGAAGGUCUUCGGAUUGUAAACUCCUGUCAUUGGGGAACAAGGUGCAUACGUUAACUGCGUGUGUAUUGAUAGUACCCGAAGAGGAAGGGACGGCUAACUCUGUGCCAGCAGCCGCGGUAAUACAGAGGUCCCAAGCGUUGUUCGGAUUCAUUGGGCGUAAAGGGUGCGUAGGCGGCGCGGUAAGUCGGGAGUGAAAUCUCGGAGCUUAACUCCGAAACUGCAUUCGAUACUGCCGUGCUUGAGGACUGGAGAGGAGACUGGAAUUUACGGUGUAGCGGUGAAAUGCGUAGAUAUCGUAAGGAAGACCAGUGGCGAAGGCGGGUCUCUGGACAGUUCCUGACGCUGAGGCACGAAGGCCAGGGGAGCAAACGGGAUUAGAUACCCGUGUAGU
rnacentral:rRNA from 1 species